GAUGAACGCUAGCGAUAGGCUUAACACAUGCAAGUCGAGGGGCAGCGAGGGUAGCAAUACCUGUCGGCGACCGGCGCACGGGUGAGUAACGCGUAUGUAACCUGCCCGCAACAGGGGGAUAACCCGGCGAAAGUCGGACUAAUACCGCAUAAAACAGGGGUCCCGCAUGGGAAUAUUUGUUAAAGAUUUAUCGGUUGCGGAUGGGCAAGCGUACCAUUAGGUAGUUGGUGAGGUAACGGCUCACCAAGCCUUCGAUGCUUAGGGGUUCUGAGAGGAAGGCCCCCCACACUGGUACUGAGACCCGGACCAGACUGCUACGGGAGGCAGCAGUGAGGAAUACUGGGCAAUGGGCGAGAGCCUGAACCAGCCAAGUCGCGUGAAGGAUGACUGCCCUCUGGGUUGUAAGCUUCUUUUACAAGGGAAUAAAAUGAGAUACGUGUAUUUUAUUGCAUGUACCUUGGGAAUAAGCAUCGGCUAACUCCGUG
rnacentral:rRNA from 1 species